rnacentral:rRNA from 1 species
GAUGAACGCUGGCGGCGUGCCUAAUACAUGCAAGUCGAGCGAACAGACGAGGAGCUUGCUCUUCUGACGUUAGCGGCGGACGGGUGAGUAACACGUGGAUAACCUACCUAUAAGACUGGGAUAACUUCGGGAAACCGGAGCUAAUACCGGAUAAUAUAUUGAACCGCAUGGUUCAAUAGUGAAAGACGGUUUUGCUGUCACUUAUAGAUGGAUCCGCGCUGCAUUAGCUAGUUGGUAAGGUAACGGCUUACCAAGGCAACGAUGCGUGGCCGACGUGAGAGGGUGGUCGGCCACACUGGAACGGAACCACGGUCCAGACCCCUACGGGAGGCAGCAGUAGGGAAUCGUCCGCAAUGGGCUAAAGCUUGACGUAACACCGCCACGUGAGUGAUGAAGGUCUUGCGAUCGUAAUACUCUGUUAUUAGUGAAGAACAAUUGUGUAAGUAACUGUGCACUUCUUGACGGUACCGAAUCAGAAAGCCCCGGCUAACUACGUG